UAGUAGGUGAGUGAUGGGGUGACGCAGGAAGGUAGUCCAUCCCGGGCGGUGGUUGUCCCGGGGUAAGGGUGUAGCCCGUGUGAUAGGUAAAUCCGUCGCACAUGAGGGUGAGACCUGAUGCCGAGCCGAUUGUGGUGAAGUGGAUGAUCCUAUGCUGUCGAGAAAAGCCUCUAGCGAGUUUCAUGGCGGCCCGUACCCUAAACCGACUCAGGUGGUCAGGUAGAGAAUACCGAGGCGUUCGGGUGAACUAUGGUUAAGGAACUCGGCAAAAUGCCCCCGUAACUUCGGGAGAAGGGGGGCCACAUCCGGUGAGGGGACUUGCUCCUCGAGCUGGGGGUGGCCGCAGAGACCAGCGAGAAGCGACUGUUUACUAAAAACACAGGUCCGUGCGAAGCCGUAAGGCGAUGUAUACGGACUGACGCCUGCCCGGUGCUGGAACGUUAAGGGGACCGGUUAGUCCGAUUUCGGUCGGGCGAAGCUGAGAACUUAAGCGCCAGUAAACGGCGGUGGUAACUAUAACCAUCCUAAGGUAGCGAAAUUCCUUGUCGGGUAAGUUCCGACCUGCACGAAUGGCGUAACGACUUCUCGACUGUCUCAACCAUAGGCCCGGUGAAAUUGCACUACGAGUAAAGAUGCUCGUUUCGCGCAGCAGGACGGAAAGACCCCGGGACCUUUACUACAGUUUGAUAUUGGUGUUCGGUUCGGCUUGUGUAGGAUAGCUGGGAGACUGUGAAGCUUGGACGCCAGUUCAGGUGGAGUCGUCGUUGAAAUACCAGUCUGGUCGUGCUGGAUGUCUAACCUGGGUCCGUGAUCCGGAUCAGGGACAGUGUCUGAUGGGUAGUUUAACUGGGGCGGUUGCCUCCUAAAGAGUAACGGAGGCGCCCAAAGGUUCCCUCAGCCUGGUUGGCAAUCAGGUGUUGAGUGUAAGUGCACAAGGGAGCUUGACUGUGAGACCGACGGGUCGAGCAGGGACGAAAGUCGGGACUAGUGAUCCGGCGGUGGCUUGUGGAAGCGCCGUCGCUCAACGGAUAAAAGGUACCCCGGGGAUAACAGGCUGAUCUUCCCCAAGAGUCCAUAUCGACGGGAUGGUUUGGCACCUCGAUGUCGGCUCGUCGCAUCCUGGGGCUGGAGUCGGUCCCAAGGGUUGGGCUGUUCGCCCAUUAAAGCGGUACGCGAGCUGGGUUUAGAACGUCGUGAGACAGUUCGGUCCCUAUCCGCUGCGCGCGCAGGAAUAUUGAGAAGGGCUGUCCCUAGUACGAGAGGACCGGGACGGACGAACCUCUGGUGUGCCAGUUGUCCUGCCAAGGGCAUGGCUGGUUGGCUACGUUCGGGAGGGAUAACCGCUGAAAGCAUCUAAGCGGGAAGCCUGCUUCGAGAUGAGUAUUCCCACCCACUUGAUGGGGUAAGGCUCCCAGUAGACGACUGGGUUGAUAGGCCGGAUCUGGAAGCACGGUAACGUGUGGAGGUGACCGGUACUAAUAGGCCGAGGGCUUGUCCUCAGUUG
rnacentral:rRNA from 1 species